CAGGAACUGAUCGUUUUUAAUCAUUCCACUGCCGAUAUGAUGUGAGUUAUAAAAGCAUAGUUUAUAUCCAAUGUCCAUUAACAUCUAUCAUUCUUUUUUUUUCUUUGGUCCAGAUUUAUUGAAUCCUUAUUAUGUGCCAGGGCUACACUAAGUGACUGCAUUGUCUCAUUUAACCUCCACAGGAAUUCCAUGAGAGAGGCUACUAUUAAUACACUCUUAAGAAAUGAGAAGAGAAAAUUUAAGAGAUGGCUGAGUUUUGAUGUUGUCUCUGUGUUAUCAGAACACAGUUGGCAACUCCUUUGAAAAACGACCAAGACAUCAGUUUACAGAAAAUUGGAAGUGUUAUUUACAAAAGGCCAUUCAACUAAGAUCUCCAAGACCGCCAACCGGCUGAAUGGCCUAACUGGGGUUCUCGGAUUAAGGCUGGUGGAAAUUUCAAGAGCAACAGGAACGCAAAAGCCUUCACCCUCUCGACAUUUGGGAGAGUUUACAAGGAGUGACCUCGGACCUAACACCAGCUUCCGUCCUGCUGAUUGCAGACACUACCUGCUUUUGGUUCUCCUCCAUCUUGAGCACAAGAUGUUCAGAUUCCCUGCCGUGUCCUCUCUCCUGCUGGGAGGCAGUGUGGCGCAGUGGUUCCACACGGGCCCUGGAGUCAGGCCUCCUGGUCACGGAUCCCGACUGCACUUACGAGCCCUCUGACCUCGGGCUGGUUACAAAACUUCCCCUUCAUAGGUGUUUGUGGUAUAGAAUAGACAUUACCAUUGAAAAGCUUAGUUUUGACAUAAUCUAAAACAGAAUCUGGAUACUUGCUGCAUCUAUACAAAAAUUUUCAAUGAGCUUAAUUAAAACUUCCAAGGAGU
rnacentral:lncRNA from 1 species